rnacentral:ncRNA from 2 species
GCCCACACCCCGGGGAGCCUGCGUUUCGAAAAGGCUGAGAGGUGGGUUUCGCAGCCCACGACCCGUCGAACCUGAACCCGUUAGCACGGGCGGAGGGAAGGGCGGCCACGCUGGCG